rnacentral:rRNA from 1 species
UUUCGCAAUGCCCGAAAGGGUGACGAAGCGACGCCGCGUGGGUGAGGAAGGCCCUCGGGUUGUAAAGCCCUGUCAGGAGUUAAGAAAUGUAGAUACGCUAAUAUCGUGUCUAUUUGACAAAGGCUCCAAAGGAAGCCACGGCUAACUCUGUGCCAGCAGCCGCGGUAAUACAGAGGUGGCAAGCGUUGUUCGGAAUUAUUGGGCGUAAAGAGCACGUAGGUGGGUUUGUAAGUCAGAUGUGAAAGCCUUCUGUUCAACGGAAGAAUUGCAUCUGAAACUGCGAGUCUUGAGUGUAGGAGGGGAGAAUGGAACUUCUGGUGGAGCGGUGAAAUGCGUAGAUAUCAGAAGGAACGCCGGCGGCGAAAGCGACUCUCUGGUCCGAAACUGACGCUGAGUGUGCGAAAGCUAGGGGAGCAAACGGGAUUAGAUACCCCGGUAGUCCUAGCCGUAAACGAUGGGCACUAAGUAGAGGGGUUUU